rnacentral:rRNA from 1 species
GACGAACGCUGGCGGCGUGCUUAACACAUGCAAGUCGAACGGAAAGGCCCUGCUUGCAGGGUACUCGAGUGGCGAACGGGUGAGUAACACGUGGGUGAUCUGCCCUGCACUCCGGGAUAAGCCUGGGAAACUGGGUCUAAUACCGGAUAGGAGCCAUUUUUAGUGUGAUGGUUGGAAAGUUUUUUCGGUGUAGGAUGAGCUCGCGGCCUAUCAGCUUGUUGGUGGGGUAGUGGCCUACCAAGGCGGCGACGGGUAGCCGGCCUGAGAGGGUGGACGGCCACAUUGGGACUGAGAUACGGCCCAGACUCCGACGGGAGGCAGAAGUGGGGAAGAUUGCACAAUGGGCGCAAGCCUGAUGCAGCGACGCCGCGGGGGGGAUGACGGCCUUCGGGUUGUAAACUCCUUUCGCUAGGGACGAAGCUUUUUGUGACGGUACCUAGAGAAGAAGCACCGGCUAACUACGUG